GGAACCUCAAUGUUGGACGCAAAUAUCAAUAUUAUAUCUUUAAGUAACAAGCUUCUUUCUGAUAUACCUAGCAGUAUACAAACAUUGGAAUGUACCAUUUGUAAUACAAAAACCGUAUUUCAUGAUGCAACAAUAAUACUCAACGAAUUGUUCAAUAGUAGUGGACACUUAGAAGAUAUAAAUAAAUAUUUAAAUAAAUAUAUUACGGAAAAAAAAGAAAAAUGGUGUCCAAACAGCAAAAAAAUAAGUAGAAAUUCCAUAUGAGUGUUGCAGGAACAUAUUUUAUUGGAAACAGACGUAUUUAAAUGUAAUACGAUAAAUGAAAAUAAAAUCUUAGUCAAUGAUAUAACAUCAAAGUUGUUUAUUGGAAAAGAAAGGUUUUCACUACAGUCAAUAAUUUCAUACAUUGGAGAUUCAGAUGUAAAAAACAUGGGCCACUACGUAACACACUGCAAACGUGUCAAAGGUUAUUGGGAAAUACAUAAUAACUUGGUAAAAAAAA